rnacentral:lncRNA from 1 species
AGAUUUUGACACUUGCCAGUGCAUUCUGUGUAGUUUUGGCAAUUUACCAGUCUUUUGAGUAUAUGUUCUGUUACAAUGAAGAAAAAAAACUAGUUUCCAGAAUGAGACAAGUAUAUACUAGAGCUCAGCAGCUUUCACAAGGUAAUGACCCAUCAGAAACCACAGGGUUGUUGUCGUCUGCUCAGGAUACAACAGGAAGUAGUAAUGAAUUGUGGGAAGAAUAUCCAAUGCAGGAUUUGAGUUCUUCUACAAGUGAAGAGCAAGCUGAUAGAGAUCAGUUUUAUAACCUUCGAGUGGCACUGCCACAACAAGGAGUUUAUACAGAAAGACAUUCCAGUUUACAGAACGGUAAUAAUGAGACAAGUGACCUGCAUGUGGCAUCAACUGAUGGAGCAUGUCAUAGUUCUGGGCAUGCUCAGUCAGAUAAUAGAGAAGAAUCAUUUCCAAGUAAUAAUACAAAUCAUAUAGAAACAGAUUUGAGCAGUAUCCAUAGAUGUGCCAACCAAUCAGAAAAUCCACAAACAACACAUUGUGCCAUAAAUAGAUUACAGAC